CGAGAUGUGGCUCAGUUUGGUAGAGCGCCACGUUCGGGACGUGGAAGCCGCAAGUUCGAAUCUUGUCAUCUCGACCA
rnacentral:tRNA from 1 species